CGCCAGACUCCUACGGGAGGCAGCAGUGGGGAAUAUUGCACAAUGGGGGAAACCCUGAUGCAGCGACGCCGCGUGAGCGAUGAAGUAUUUCGGUAUGUAAAGCUCUAUCAGCAGGGAAGAAGAUGACGGUACCUGACUAAGAAGCCCCGGCUAACUACGUGCCAGCAGCCGCGGUAAUACGUAGGGGGCAAGCGUUAUCCGGAUUUACUGGGUGUAAAGGGAGCGUAGACGGCAGCGCAAGUCUGGAGUGAAAUGCCGGGGCCCAACCCCGGAACUGCUUUGGAAACUGUGCAGCUGGAGUGCAGGAGAGGUAAGCGGAAUUCCUAGUGUAGCGGUGAAAUGCGUAGAUAUUAGGAGGAACACCAGUGGCGAAGGCGGCUUACUGGACUGUAACUGACGUUGAGGCUCGAAAGCGUGGGGAGCAAACAGGAUUAGAUACCCGCGUACC
rnacentral:rRNA from 1 species